GACGAACGCUGGCGGCGUGCUUAACACAUGCAAGUCGAACGGAAAGGCCUGCUUUCCCUUGUGGUUUGCGGGUACUCGAGUGGCUAACGGGUGAGUAACACGUGAGUGAUCUGCCCCCAACUUGGGUAUAAGCCUGGGAAACUGGGUCUAAUUCCCGAUAGGACUGCAGGGUGGUGCCUGUGGUGGAAAACGAUUUUCUAGUGGUUGGGGAUGAGCUCGCGGCGUAUCAGCUUGUUGGCGGGGUAAUGGCCUACCAAGGCGGCGACGGGUAGCCGGCCUGAGAGGGUGGACGGCCACAUUGGGACUGAGAUACGGCCCAGACGCCUACGGGAGGCAGCAGUGGGGAAUAUUGCACAAUGGGCGGAAGCCUGAUGCAGCGACGCCGCGUGGGGGAUGACGGCCUUCGGGUUGUAAACUCCUUUCGACCGAGAGGAAGCCACCUGGUUGGAAGGGUGGUGACGGUAGUGGUAGAAGAAGCACCGGCUAACUACGUG
rnacentral:rRNA from 1 species